ACUCAGCAGGGUCGCCAUCAAUGGGCUCAUAGGCUCCCUCGGGUAAGGCGAAGGGUAAGGGGUCAUCAGCGUGCUCAUCGGCGCCGUCAGGUAACGCGAACGGCUGGAAGUCGUCAUCGUCGGUGCUAGUAUAGUCUGAGGUGUGCACCUCAUGCUCCGAAGACAUAACAUCGUCUGACACUAACGGUAGGGGUCCAGUGGUACCUGGUCCACCUGUAGCUGGUGAAUCCAUGGGUCUGUAACAUAACACAGAAUAAGCACAAAAUCAGUGAAUCAAAUAGUCACAUAAGUUACCAGAUAAUAAUCACAUAAUCCACCUAGUCCCACUAGCCUCCCAGCCUCUCAGACUGUCCUUCCUAGUCUCACUAGCCAACAUUCCUAGUCCCACUAGCCAACACUCCUAGUCCCACUAGCCAACACUCCUAGUCCCACUAGCCAACACUCCUAGUCCCACUAGCCAACACUCCUAGUCCCACUAGCCAAUACUCCUAGUCCCACUAGCCUGAUCCUCAGCCUCCCAGACUGAGCCUAAAAUAAUGAAUAAUAUGUGCUCAACAUUUGUUUGUAAAAAGUUUGUGGAUCUGGACUUAAGUGGUAUGCAGAAAAAUGUUUUCGUGAGAGCCCUAGUGAUCAUAGUCUAGACUCGAGAAUGAAUCCUAGUUCGCUAUGAUCAGAGCUCUGAUACCAAGCUGUCACACCCUGGCUUUGCGGAAGCGUGGUUAAUUUGUGUGACUUCUUAAUACCAUAGCUUAAUCAUAACAAAGCUAUAUGAAUUUAAAAACCAUGCAAGUCAUCCAUUAAGUUUUUGAAAACAUAGUACCAUACCAUUGUUUUUAACAUGCAACCAUAACCUUGUUCAGAAACAUAACAACUUAUAACAAAACAUAAACGUGAUUUAGGGAUUGUGUCUUGUCCAGGUAAGAGACACAACCCUAAACCCUGAUGACUUCAUGACCAGUGCAGCGGAAAACGUUCCAUACCGUGCCAGAUCCGUUUAAUUUCCUGAAAUACAUGUGAGUUGAAAAAUCAACAAUAAUGUUGAGCGAGUUCAUGCGUAAGUGAGUAUGUAAAACCUUUGUGAGUAUAAAAAUAGUUGUGGUAUGUAGCAGUGUAAGAGGACUUGUGAUCACCAAUGGUUUGCAAGGCCACUGACAUAUGUGAAGUGCAAAUAGGGAGACUCAAACCUAGCAGAUUUCGCCACGGCAAAGUAUGUGGACAAAGUCACCCCACGGUCCGUUUCUAGUUUGGCCGGGGGCUGGGCUCGCUACACCCAGAUAGAUCUACCGCUCCUGUCCCUCGGUCCCUCCAUGAGGACUAAUGGCCCCAUGUUGUUCCUAUCCACUCACAUGAUCGUAUAACACCUCCUUACGUUAAACAUACCGUUGUAAAGUACUCGUAAAUCAUAGUAACAUGUAUUUCACCCCCGCAGUUAAGUAAACUGAAAACAGUUAGAGAAAAGGGGGACAUGAACUCACAGUGAAUGCGUAUCUCUACCAAGUAAUCCGAAUAUCCGAAGCUGUGCAACGACCUACAGGUGCUAAUUCUAUUAGACGGAUGGCCGUGCCUUAGCUUUAUAACUUAUAUUUUUAGGAGACGGUUAGACAACCGUUUCGUGUACAUACUUGGUAUUUUACUUUCCUUCCCAAGGAUGGGGGAUUUAAAUACAUGUGUAUUUAUACUAUCUCAUUAAGUCCCACUUAAUAUAUUUUUAUUUCUCAUUCCAAAAUAUAAUUAUUUUUCUCAAAAAUAAUAUAUUUUCUCUUUACAUAAUACUUUCCAAAAUAAUACGUUGACAACAUACGUGUUGGUGAAUAUUUCCGCGUAAUGCGUAAGUUACGUUUUAAUGAUUAGGUGGUAAUAGAAAUUACCGUUGUAACUCUUAUGCUUGUCAUAUAAGCGUUUGUAUUAUUUUGGGUUUGACAAGUUAGUAAAUAUUAUUUUUACUCUAAAAAUAAUAUUUAUACAUUUUCACAAAAUAAUCAUAAACAGUGUUGUGACAAAAUAUAUUUACCGAAUAUAUAUUUAUCACGUUUAGUUUUGUGAAAAUCCCACCUCCGAUUAUUUAUAAAUAAAGUUGUGGCGAAAUAUAUUUGAAAACAUGUCAAAGUAGUCUAACACUUGUAGAUAAUUCUAAGUGUUAGAUUUUAGGAAAAUUUCGCCAGAGUUUCCUCUGUAACUGGAGGUGGCCACGCUUUUAAGCGUAUCAUUUUCUUUUACAAAAUCACUUCUUUUAUUUCAAUCAAUCAAUUUCCAACAUAAUCAGCAAGUUUCAACACUUCGAAUUCGUAGACUAGUAUGUAAAAUCACAAUAUUACAUGAACUUGUAGUUUUUCUAAAACUAUUAUGUAGAUCUCGUUAUUUUUAGUGGAUCUAGGUAUAAAAUAGUUUAGUCUUGCAAAAACCCCGUUUUUGGAACAAAUCACUCUUUACAACUUCCGACAGUUUUUAUAAAAAAAAUUGUUAUUUCGUCGGAUCUUUCGUUUCACAAGUGUUUAUACACUUGUAGACUAUAAAAAUCACAUUUGUUAACAUGUUAAACAACUUUUAUAAAACAUGAUUUUCUCGACACCCGGUCCUACGAAUAUACCACUUGUACAUACGUAGAUCGGCUCGUUUUAAAUACUAUUUUUCACGUUAAAACAUUUUUACACAAGUUCAUGUUUCCCGUGUGGUGGAGUUUCACCUUUUAACCCUUGUACCAAAGAAACAAGUGUAUGUCAAGAUACGUGAUCCUAACAAAGUCGGGUUAAACGAUGAUGAGAGCCACCACAUCAUAGAUCGGGCCAUAAAAACCAACAUAUUCAAAUACUACGACAUUUACACGCGUUAUGAGCUUUUAACCAACGAUAUUCACAUUUUAGUAGACUUUAAAGAUUCAUGAAGCGGGUUACCGACAUUUAACCGAUAAAAAUCCUUUUAACCACUUUAAACAUGACUAAUAACGAGUUUUAAACAAUAUACCUCUAGCUCGAGGCUAGGGAAGAAACUAGUCGAAUACGGCGUGGGUAAAAGCAAACGGUAGAGGUCCUUGGCGUUCCGUUUGUUCCAAGCUUCGUUGUACGUGAUCCCCGACACUUGUAUGGACUUGGAAUGGGUGAAUCAAGAACCGAAAAAUGGUUGGGUGUGGGUGUGUGGUUCGGCCGAGAGGGAGCAAGGGGGAGGGAGAGAGAGAGUUUUGUGAAGUGUGUGUGUUUGUGUGUGUGAGAUGUGAGGGUAUUUAUAGAGAAUGUCGUCUCGGUCUUCGCGAAAUCUAAUUAAAUAUUCAAAGGUGUACUCUCCCCGGGUCCCACUAGUUGGCCGAUUUCAUUAGAAUGUAAUGGUAUCCGGUUCGUUUCCAAUCGUUCAGUUACGGUUCAGUUUGGUUAAGUGCGUUAAGUGAGAGGUCUAACCCCGUUAGUUGUUUAAUGCAUUAGAAAGCGGGUGUUAGGGUAAUCAGGGACCCUAACUGGCUCAGAAAAAUACCAAUAUUAAUUUUGGCAAUAUUUUUAUGUUCCGGGUAUUGUCCGGUUGUUCGGUCGGAUAGUAAUCCGUUAAAGUGCUUAAGAUAUCCUUUAAGCGUCAUAAAUAAUAUUUUUAGCGACACAAUUUAUUCUGCAAGUGUCAGGAAUAAUUCCUCAUAUUUUGGCACUUUAUUUAUUAGCUAGAAGCUAGUGUGUUGAUAAAAGUGCUGUGUUUCGUGCUUAAAGUAUGUUUUAGGCACAUCCAAAUCUCUGUAUCUUAUUCCUAGAGACGUAAUCAUACAACCCUUGUAUCCUUACACACACUAUGGUGUAGUAAAAUAAUUUUGGCUCAUUCAGGCCUUUAGAGGCAGUGUCUGCCUGAUGCUGGCUAUAUCAGCAUGUUCACUGUGUAUCCGUUUAGUGCUACUGUGCUUUUUGUGCAUCAAGUUUGUCACUAGAGUUCAGUAAAUAAAUAAUGUAGUGACAGGAAAAAUCAAAGUAUGAUGCAGACAUGUACAUGUAUCAACAAUCAAGUAGCAGUUUAUCAGAAAUCUCAGUUAAGCACAGUAAUUAGGCAACAGUUAAUAGCAAAUUAAGUCGUACGGAUACCUGGUUUUGUGAGGGUUGUCACAAACUUCACCCCCUUUUCCAAGGUUCAUUUGAGCUACCUGACGCUUAAGCAACAAGUUUUGAUGCCUCAGCUUCUCGACCCAUUCCUCAGCUUCAUAAUCAACCGACUUCGCUGAACUCGAUCUUGCCCUCCUGCUAGAUUGUGCCUGUCUUUUCGAAGUGGCACUUUGUCUCUCUAAGUAUGCCCAGUCUGCAGCCUCGGUGUUUGUGAGAAACGUACCAUUACUAAUGGCUAUGAGAUCUCUUACAUCAUCAGGAAGUAGCCCAUCAUAAAACGCCUUAAUUAAUUCCCAUCUCUGAAUUUCAUGAUGUGGGCAUUUCCUAAGCAACUCCUUAAACCUUGUGAACGCCUCAUGGAACGGUUCCCCUGAAUGUUGCUGGAAUGCUCUGAUUGCAUCCCGAGCUUCACUGGUUCUAUUCAUUGUGUAAUACUCCUCCAAAAAUACUUGUUGCAUCUUUUGCCAAGUGUAGAUACUCCCCGGAGGUAAUGUUGCGAACCAUUGGCGUGCCUUGUCUUUCAGGAUAAAUUGAAACAACAUCAACUUAACCUCAUCCUUUGUAAAACCCAAACCUCCUAUAGUUUGGCAAAUUGAAUCGAAGCUUGCAAUAUGCAAGUAUGGUUCUUCAGUUCUUUUUCCAUAGAAUUCCGGCAAAUGGCCUAAGUAUUGAGGCCUCACCUCGAAGGGUCGAUUAUUAUUCCCCACCGGUGUAACUAUAGCUGAUGAGUUGGGUACUACAACGGGUCGACAAUGACCUUCAACGCCUUGAAUUGGUGCCCCUUGAACGACUUGUGGGACGCCAUCCACAAACUGUAUUUGCUCGCCCCUAAACCGAUUAUUAGCUCUUCCCGCCUUAAACUGCGGGACUUCAUUAUGAACUAGAUUUUGUGGAAUCGGGCGCGGGAUGGGAUUUCUUUGAUUGACCUGUUGCACUGGGUAGCCUUGAUUCACAUUGUACCCCUCAUCAUAUCUGUAAUUUGCGUAUCUCUCGUCAUACUGAUUUUGAUAAUCAUCAUCUUCCCAACCGGAUUCCCAUGUAUGCACGCUGCCUUCUCUGUGUUGGAAACCCUCAUCAUACCUGUGUUGAUGUUGUGGUUGGUUAAGACGAAUGAUGUCCUCAUGUCGGAGAUUUAGAUUUGCCGGUUGGUGAUGGAGAGUGCAAAACACGAGCGUUAUGGUAAACGCGUAAUUCGAUGAAAUUGGAACGUUUAGUGAUGAAGCGGAACCGCCAAAGUUAAUAAAAAUAUUACGAGGAUAGUCAUUCAUAUAUUGAUGGCAGGAGUGAUAUAUAAUAUUCGCAUAUGCACAUACAUAAAAGGAAUGAAGCCAUCUUGAAAUUUCACGUGAACUUGAGAAGACUUUUGGGGGCUUAUUAUAUUAUAUUUCCAUUUUAUAAAAAAAUUAUGCAAAAGCCCUAGCAAAAUAGAAGAGGCAUCACGUGCACAGGAAAUCCAUCAUCAUUGAUGGGCCAACAUUUGCACUUGUGAGAUCAUCAAUCAUCAGACGCACACGUGAAGAUUGAAAAAUCUUGGGCGGCUGACUUGAGGGUGUGGGCCGAUAUCUUUGGUCUUUAUUGGGCCGCCAACACAACAUUCAGAGAAUGGACUACACGUAAAUAGAAGAGGGGGACUCCACUUUCGACGGUUACGAGGGGAGGCAGCGGACAUAGGAGACACGAGGUUUGAACAAAAUCACGUGAGGGUUUCAACGAUCACAACCGACAUGCGCGGCUAGUCUCGUCGGAUUCACCCCGGUGUAGAGGUUGUAAGAUUUCUAGGGUUUACACAUUUGUAUUUUGAUUUGAUUUUGUGACAAACUGUUUAGUAUUUGAAACCUUUGAUAAUUGUCUUGCAUUUGUUUCGAAUUCGUAAAUUGUCGAACGAUGUUAAAAGUUAUGACUUUGCGAAAUGGUUAU
rnacentral:lncRNA from 1 species